CAAUAGCGUAUAUUAAAGUUGUUGCAGUUAAAAAGCUCGUAGUUGGAUUUCUGAUCGAGACAUCAGGUCGGGUCCGAGAGGAUCAUGUACUUUGAUUUUGUUUUGAUCAUCCUUGGGGAGAGCAUUUCUGGCAUUCAGUUGUCGGGAUUGGGAUCCUCAUCGUUUACUGUGAAAAAAUUAGAGUGUUCAAAGCAGGCCUCGGCCUCUGAAUACAUUAGCAUGGAAUAAUAAGAUAGGACUUUGGUGGUCUAUUUUGUUGGUUUGCACGCCAAAGUAAUGAUUAAUAGGGAUAGUUGGGGGUAUUCGUAUUCAAUUGUCAGAGGUGAAAUUCCUGGAUUUAUGGAAGACGAACUACUGCGAAAGCAUUUACCAAGGAUGUUUUCAUUAA
rnacentral:rRNA from 1 species